CACCUGCCGAGUCUGCCAAUCUCUCAUCAACGUGGAAGGCAAGAUGCAUCAGCAUGUAGUCAAAUGUGGUGUCUGCAAUGAAGCCACCGUGAGUUAUACAUAUCUAUGAAAUGGGCCCUGUUUCCUGGAUCCUCUUUCUGAUGUCUUGGUUCUAGACCCUGACCAUCCGGCUGUUAGCCAAGUGCUCUUGAUGAUACCCAGGUUUCAGUUCCCAGGUGUCUCACACAGCCAUUUCCCCAGAAGCCACUCACCAAAGCUAAUGUUCACUUUCUCUCACUUUCACACCUAGCCUAGUUCCUAUUUGCAAAUCUCAUGAUAUAGUCUUUCUUUUAUUUCUCCUUCCUGGCUAGCACCUUAUUUUUCUGAUCUCAUAAAGUGUUUUUGGAGGGAAGUGGAGGGGAUUGGGAUUAGAGGUUUGCUUGCUGAUGACCCUAUUAUUCUCUAGCCAAUCAAGAAUGCACCCCCAGGGAAAAAAUAUGUUCGAUGCCCCUGUAACUGUCUCCUUAUCUGCAAAGUGACAUCCCAACGGAUUGCAUGCCCUCGGCCCUACUGCAAAAGAAUCAUCAACCUGGGGCCUGUGCAUCCCGGACCUCUGAGUCCAGAACCCCAACCCAUGGGUGUCAGGGUUAUCUGUGGACAUUGCAAGAAUACUUUUCUGUGGACAGAGUUCACAGACCGCACCUUGGCACGUUGUCCUCACUGCAGGAAAGUGUCAUCUAUUGGGCGCAGAUACCCACGUAAGAGAUGUAUCUGCUGCUUCUUGCUUGGCUUGCUUUUGGCAGUCACUGCCACUGGCCUUGCCUUUGGCACAUGGAAGCAUGCACGGCGAUAUGGAGGCAUCUAUGCAGCCUGGGCAUUUGUCAUCCUGUUGGCUGUGCUGUGUUUGGGCCGGGCCCUUUAUUGGGCCUGUAUGAAGGUCAGCCACCCUGUCCAGAACUUCUCCUGAGCCUGAUGACCCACAGACUGUGCCUGGCCCCUCCCUGGUGGAGACAGUGACACUACGAAGGGAGCUGGGGUAGUUAAAGGCUCCCGGGGCUUCUAGAAGGAAGCCAAGCAGCUGCCUUCCUUUUCCCUGGGGAGAGGUAGGAAGGAACCAGGCCCUCACUUAGGUUUGGAGGG
rnacentral:sRNA from 1 species